rnacentral:rRNA from 1 species
GAUGAACGCUAGCUACAGGCUUAACACAUGCAAGUCGAGGGGCAGCAUGGUCUUAGCUUGCUAAGGCCGAUGGCGACCGGCGCACGGGUGAGUAACACGUAUCCAACCUGCCGUCUACUCUUGGACAGCCUUCUGAAAGGAAGAUUAAUACAAGAUGGCAUCAUGAGUCCGCAUGUUCACAUGAUUAAAGGUAUUCCGGUAGACGAUGGGGAUGCGUUCCAUUAGAUAGUAGGCGGGGUAACGGCCCACCUAGUCUUCGAUGGAUAGGGGUUCUGAGAGGAAGGUCCCCCACAUUGGAACUGAGACACGGUCCAAACUCCUACGGGAGGCAGCAGUGAGGAAUAUUGGGCAAUGGGCGAGAGCCUGAACCAGCCAAGUAGCGUGAAGGAUGACUGCCCUAUGGGUUGUAAACUUCUUUUAUAAAGGAAUAAAGUCGGGUAUGGAUACCCGUUUGCAUGUACUUUAUGAAUAAGGAUCGGCUAACUCCGUG